rnacentral:rRNA from 1 species
UACAGAGGUGCCGAGCGUUAGGCGGAAUCACUGGGCUUAAAGCGUGUGUAGGCGGAUUUUUAAGUACCUUGUGAAAUCCCAUGGCUUAACCAUGGAACUGCUGGGUAUACUGGAUAUCUUGAGCCAACUAGGGGCUACCGGAACAAAUGGUGGAGCGGUGAAAUGCGUAGAUAUCAUUUGGAACGCCAAUGGUGAAAACAGGUAGCUGGAGUUGUGCUGACGCUGAGACACGAAAGCCAGGGGAGCGAACGGG